rnacentral:rRNA from 1 species
AUACGGAGGGUGCAAGCGUUACUCGGAAUCACUGGGCGUAAAGGAUGCGUAGGCGGAUAAUCAAGUCAAAAGUGAAAUCCCACGGCUUAACCGUGGAACUGCUUUCGAAACUGGUUAUCUAGAAUAUGGAAGAGGCAGAUGGAAUUAGUGGUGUAGGGGUAAAAUCCGUAGAGAUCACUAGGAAUACCGAUUGCGAAGGCGAUCUGCUGGGACAUUAUUGACGCUGAGGCAUGAAAGCGUGGGGAGCAAACAGGAUUAGAUACCCCAGUAGUCC